rnacentral:sRNA from 1 species
AGAUAGCCUUGGCCUUCACCGAGUUGAAAAUGUCAGCCACAUCAACAAAGCUGUGACCCUCCACCUUUACAGUCCACCAUUUGAUGUUUGUCAGUGUUUCGAUGAAAGAACUGGCAAAGCUGUAACAUCCAAAGUAACAUUCUGGUCCAAAUAUGGCAGAAGGACUCCAUUUGGACGUAAUCCAGAUGAGGCUGGCUGUUGUGUUAUUGAAAAUAACUAGACCAUCACAGAAUGACCAAAGAGUAAACAGCUGAAUAAGGAAAUGCUUGUUUUUGUUUUGUUAUACAAUAUAGCUCAAUGAGGACUUUCACAAAAGGGCAUUGCUUAGGUUAAUGCCAAAAUUAUUUCACUAAUAUAUAGCUGUAACUGGGUGUUCUUGGGAUUAAGUUUAUAUUUUUUGUUAUACAAGUUUUUAGCUUGUAUUCACUAGGCAUCUAUGUCUACAUGAUUUUUGUUUUAUCUUACAUUGUGCCUUCCAUACAUGUUUUAACAAUAAAAAAUAUAAAGCUUUGCUUAUCGAAUAUCCAAUUUUAUAAUUAGAACAAAAAUUGGUAAUUUGUUGAAAAAAAAACAACAACUGAAGUGCCUGAAAGAAAAUUAACAAAA